rnacentral:rRNA from 1 species
ACUUUGCUGUGGGCAGCUGCUUGGGGACUACGAGCGUGUGCUUAAAACUCAAAGAUCUUGGCGGCUCGUUAACUACCUAGGGGAAUAUGUGCCUUAAUCCGAUGAUCCGCGCGGAAUCUUACUGUACCUUGAAAAAGAACAGCCGGUGUAUUGCCGUCGUCAGCCUGUUGUUCGAGCAAGAAGAAACAGGCUCAAUGGAACUGGUCGACUUGUUGACAGGAGCCAUAAAGUCAGGUCGUAAUACUGCCAAUGGUACAAGGGAGUAGGUAUUACAAUUCAAAUUUCGAAAUACGGAGCCUGGAGGAAAUAUGAAACAUCCAGGUGAAGGUGGACUUAGGAGUAAGGGGAGAUUAAUAUGCUUCCCUGAACGUGAAUCUAACUUGUGUACAAACCGCCUGUUG